rnacentral:rRNA from 1 species
CGCGGUAAUUCCAGCUCCAAUAGCGUAUACUAAAGUGUUGCAGUUAAAAAGCUCGUUUUUGGAUUUCUGGCGGGGACGGCUGGUCGGUCUCGAAAGGGGCUGUACUGUUGUUGGUUCCCGUCAUCCUUGGGGAGAGCGGCUCUUACAUUAAGUUGUCGGCGUCGGGAUCCCUAUCUUUUACUGUGAAAAAAUUAGAGUGUUCAAAGCAGGCUUAGGCCCUGAAUACAUUAGCAUGGAAUAAUAAGAUACGACCUUGGUGGUCUAUUUUGUUGGUUUGCACGCCAAGGUAAUGAUUAAUAGGGAUAGUUGGGGGUAUUCGUAUUCAAUUGUCAGAGGUGAAAUUCUUGGAUUUAUGGAAGGCGAACUACUGCGAAAGCAUUUACCAAGGAUGUUUUCAUUAAUCAAGAACGAAAGUUAGGGGAUCGGAGAUGAUUAGAUACCAUCGUAGUCUUAACCAUAAACUAUGCCGACUAGGGAUCGGUGGGUGCAUUUUUAGGCCUCAUCGGCACCUUAUGAGAAAUCAAAGUCUUUGGGUUCCGGGGGGAGUAUGGUCGCAAGGCUGAAACUUAAAGAAAUUGACGG